rnacentral:rRNA from 1 species
UACGUAGGCAGCAAGCGUUGUUCGGAGUUACUGGGCGUAAAGGGUGUGUAGGCGGUUCUUUAAGUUUGGUGUGAAAUCUCCCGGCUCAACUGGGAGGGUGCGCCGAAUACUGAGGGACUAGAGUACGGGAGAGGAAAGUGGAAUUCCUGGUGUAGCGGUGAAAUGCGUAGAUAUCAGGAGGAAUACCGGUGGUGCAGACGGCUCUCUGGACCGCCACUGACGCUGAGACACGAAAGCGUGGGUAGCAAACAGG